AGUGAACGCUGGCGGUAGGCCUAACACAUGCAAGUCGAACGGCAGCACAGUAAGAGCUUGCUCUUACGGGUGGCGAGUGGCGGACGGGUGAGGAAUACAUCGGAAUCUACUUUUUCGUGGGGGAUAACGUAGGGAAACUUACGCUAAUACCGCAUACGACCUACGGGUGGAAGCAGGGGAUCUUCGGACCUUGCGCGAUUGAAUGAGCCGAUGUCGGAUUAGCUAGUUGGCGGGGUAAAGGCCCACCAAGGCGACGAUCCGUAGCUGGUCUGAGAGGAUGAUCAGCCACACUGGAACUGAGACACGGUCCAGACUCCUACGGGAGGCAGCAGUGGGGAAUAUUGGACAAUGGGCGCAAGCCUGAUCCAGCCAUACUGCGUGGGUGAAGAAGGCCUUCGGGUUGUAAAGCCCUUUUGUUGGGAAAGAAAAGCAGCAGGUUAAUACCCCGCUGUUCUGACGGUACCCAAAGAAUAAGCACCGGCUAACUUCGUG
rnacentral:rRNA from 1 species